AAUAAAAAGAGGGCUGAAAUGCCAGACCCUUGAGCAGCAGAUCUCAAAGUGGUGCAUCCAUCUGUGGGCUGCUGUGCAUGCAACUAAGGAGGCAGAGAGGAGAAAGUUUGAAACUGCUUCAAUUUUCAGUAAAUUACAACUUGCUAUGUACCAAACACUAGAAUUCUAUGUUUUUACACACAUACAUAUGUAUAUAUAUACACUUUAUAUUUAUAACUGAAGCAGUCUAAUACAUCUGAAAAUAUUUGAGUAUGUCAUCUAAUUGCUAUGGAAUUAAUAAAAAUUCAGAUUUCUUUUCUUUCUUUCUUUUUUUUGGGGGGAGGCGGUUUCCAGACAGGGUUUCUCUGUAUAGCCCUGGCUGUCCUGGAACUCACUUUGUAAACCAGGCUGGCCUUGAACUGAGAAAUCCGCCUGCCUCAGCCUCCCGAGUGCUGGGAUUAAAGGCAUGCCACCACGGCUUCAGAAUAUUUUUAAAAUAGCUUCAAUAAAAUGUAAAUAACCUAUGACCCGAUUUGCUCAUCAAACAGGUAUAACCAAAUCGUUGUAUGAUACUGACAACAAUAAAUUUUAGGAUGUUACCACAGUAUAAAAAGCAAUUCCAUAGCUUCCCAUCCCAGGUCCUCUUCCCUGUGCCUAGCCCCUGAGUCACCUACUUUCUAGCUCUGUCUUGCCCACCAUAGCCAUGUUUAAGACAUGCCUGCCAGUUACAGUUCUACCAUUUGAUCAAAGUCUCAUGAACUGUUCUCUGUUCAUGCUCCGCUCAUUGCAGAGGGAGGGCUCCUGGGAGUAUUUGUAGUGUCAGGCGCCAACACUGUCUGCCGUUCCCCCAGAUUGUGGAUUCCCUAGGCGAGCUGGAAGCCUUAAUGGAAAGGAUGAAAAGGCUUCAGGAAGACAGGGAAGAUGACGAGACCACUCGGGAAGAAAUGACCACGCGUUUUGAGAAGGAAAAGAAAGAAAGUCUCUUUGUGGUCCCUGGAGAAACUUUACAUGCGUUUCCUCACUCAGGUGUGUUUGUCCUUUCUCUUGGUUAGUUGUUCAGAGACGUGAGGCACCGCCUUUAGCAUUUUCCAUACAGACACAUAAAGAGGAGUGUGCUCCUGCCUCCCCAACAGUGGGCUCCAUUCUCAGAAACCUGCAGUUGUGCAAACACCAUGCAGUGCCCCACAGAGACUGGGUGCUGUGGCUUCUGAAGAGGAACAGUGUGUGGCCGUGGCCACAGCAUGUGGCAUGCUAGUGUGCAGUUACAUGCUGGAUAAGUGCUGUGCAUAGAUAGCAAAUACAUAAACCUGUAGCUCUGACUUAGUGUUGCAUUAUGGUAUGUGCUGUGUGGCUGGCGGUGCACACUGUCCAUCAGCUGUUGAUGCAAAAGUGAAAUGCCUGAAACUGCUAUGCGUUGGCUGGAGUGUCAUAGGAUUUCCUAGACCCAGGAUCAUUGAGAGGAACCUUCUCCAUACAUGCACUCAGUCUUUCCUGAAGUGUUGUUACAUGGCACAUGGCUACCUCUAGUCCUCUGAGACUGAUCUGUAGGCUUGUCCUUGCUCUGUCCUGGACACAUAGCUAAAGUGGUUAAUUGCUGAGGUCAGCAAAAUGUUACUUGCCACUACACCAGUUUGAGUUUGGCCCUGAGAUCCACACUAUAAAAGGCAAGAACUUCCUCCCACAAGUUUUCUGACCUUCCACAUAUACUUCAUGGCAUGCACAUACCAAUACACAUACAUACAAAAAAGUUAUAUAAAUAAAUGUGAAAAUGCAUUUUCUUGUACUCUUAAGGAAUUUUGGAAUAGAAGCGAUAUUCCAGUUCUUUCGUCUAAAGGCACCAAGCAGUACAUAGUAAAUCCUAUUAAGCAACAUGUAAACACAGGUGAACCCCUCAGAGAUGCCAUCUAAGUCACAUUGCUCUUGAAACUAUACCAGUCAGUCUUACCUUCUGAGAGCUGUUCUCCUGUGUGCUGUGUGCCAAGGAACGAACACAGAGCUACAGGAAGAGCACCCUGCCCUUUGUCAUUCUGUUGAGCAUUUGAAAUAAAAUUUUAGACUUAUUUUAUUUCAUAUGUAUGACUAUUUCCCCAUGUGUAUAUAUGUAGAUGCCUGUGUAGAUCUCUAUGGAGAUCAAUUGAGGGCAUUAAUCCCCUGGAACUGUAGUAAUAAGUGGUUGGGAGCCAUGUGUAAGUGCUGAGAACCAAACCCCAGUCUUCUGCAAGAGCAGCCAGUGCUCUUAACUGUGAGCCAUCUCUCUGCCCCUGAUCUCUACCCACCGCAGCCAUGCCUGCAGACCAAACCCCUUUACACAGUAUCCAACAGCACAACAGCAGGGACCAGGAGGUGGUGCUAAGCUUGAGAACACUAUGGGACAUUAUCAGUGUCUCACUAGGAGCUACGUCAAAACUAAAUGAAUUGUGUGCAUUACAGUUAAAUAAAGCCCAGACUUAAACAAAAGCCUUUGGUUGGAAAAUCCAGGGAGAGCAAGUGGAAGUAAAAACAAGUCAUGCAGCAGGUGAGCUCUGCAGGUGUGUGCUGACCCCUCAGCAGGGAGCCAUGCAGGUAGGGUGCGGUUUGAAAAAGCCAUGAUGCUAUUAGGAUGAAUAGCCAUGUACUCUAAAUGUUAAUUUUUCAGUUUCUUUAGAUCACUGGAGCUUGAAAAAUGUAAAUAUUUUAUUCCUUUAGGUUGUUUUGAAAUAAUAGAAAUAUAUUUAGAUUCCAAGGAGACUUCCCCUCCCACCCACCUUUACAAGACAAGGUUUCUCGUGUAGCCCUGGCCAUCCUAGAGUUCACUCUGUAGACCAGGCUGGCAUCAAACUCAGAGAUCCCACAUUUGCCUCUAAUCCCAAAUAAUGGAAUUAAAGGUGUGUACCACCAUGCCUGGCUCUAAGUAGGCUCCUUGAACCCUUACACAGACAUUUGAAAAGAAUUUUUGAAAAGAAUUUUUAACAAACCUUGAACGUUAAAAAUUAUAUCCUGAUUCAGGAUAUUUUUUAGAUUUAUUUUAUGUAUAUUAGUGUUUUGUCUGGGUGUUUAUAUGUAUAGCGUGUGUGUCUGGUACUGGAGGAGGUCAGAGGAGGACACUGGAACCCCUGGAACAUACAUACUAGAGAAACCCUGUCUCAAAAAAACAAAACAACAACAACAACAAAAGCCCAGGAAGUCUAAAAUGGUGUUUCCUUUUAGUACAAACUUAAAUAUUUGUUUAUUUGAUGUUUGAUGUUAAAUAUUAACAUCGCCAUUAGUUCUAGGUUGUUGAUCACCUGAGUAGUAAUUUUAACUCUUCAAGAUAACUCUAGAAAGAAUAGCACCAAUCAUUUCCCUGUGAGUCUUACAAAUACAGAGACAUACAGCUAACACCAUGUGAUUGGGUGGCAUAUUAGACAUCAGCCUACGAUUGGCUGCCCCAUUGCUUUGUGCCUGUGGUAGCACAAAUCCAGGAAGACACAGCAAGAUCCUGCAGUAACUUUUAAGGGAACCUUAACCACCUAAACAUCUCACAGGAGGCCCCACCUCCUACAGGUCUUUCGGUCCAGCCUUUCCCACAUGGACACUGGAGGGACCCAAGUGUAGUAAAAUAUAAGUAACUGAGGGAGGGACCCCCAUAUAGCCCUUUAUGGGCAGAUUACGUAGAAAACAGGUCUUAUCUACUACUGCUUCUAAGUUACAAGGUUUUUUUCUGGGAUACACUUUUAUAUGUUAGUUACUAUUUAUUUUUAAAUUAAAAUUUUAAAAUUAUAUAUGAGCAAAACAAAACUGUUAUCAAAGGCAAAGGAAGUACUGUGACAGUCAAGUCCAGUGUCAGCAUUUGCAAAUGAAUCCUGGGACACAGGGGUACAGGGACAGGAAAACUUGACAGUUCUGUACCACAGACAUCUUAGUUGGAUUUUACUUUGCCACUCACAAAACUAGUAGGCUUGUCUGACUGUGAUGAAUUUUCACACGUUCUGUCAUUUUGCUUGUGGUGUGAUGGGGUGGAUGGAAGCAAGCAUGACCUCUUUGAGUUAGGAGCUAAUGCUUCAAAACUACCACAGCUGUGCUCAUGGUACCUCAAGUGGAGCCUGCACUGUAGCGAUCCAGAUAAUCCCACAAUUUCCCAUAGAGGAAAACCAGUUAAAAGCACUGCAUGACACUGGGGACUGUGCUCCUGGGUAGAGUACUUGCCUAGGAUACACAGGGCCCUGGGAUUGAUGCCCAGC
rnacentral:lncRNA from 1 species